GAUACAAUCUCCGUAUUGGACUUUAAUUUCCUUUUGUUUACACCUUGACGUGUUCACGCUGUCAUCUGGAAAGAUGUUGCAUGAUGGUCUUUUACUGAAGGCCUUACAGAGCCUCACUGAUCAGUCCUCAUGGCAGCCAUUUUGAGCAGGAGUGCAUGCUGUACAUGCGCUGUUGAAUUUAAAUGAGAAGGCCCUCCCGCCUGGCAAGCUGGGUGUUUUUUUUUUGGACAGUUUUGACUAAUAUCACGAUGAAGACAUCGUACCAUCUGGAUUCCUGAGACGAACCCUCACAGGUCCAAUAAACAGGCACAACAACAAUAAAAAGGAAGCAAGAUCAGGAAACAUGAGAUUGUGAAAGUCUGAAAAGACACAGUGUGUGUACAACUCUGGGCUCUGUAGGUUAGAGGUGAUGUCAGGAUUCCUCCUGAUUGGUUUGAGAUUUGCAGAGAUUUGUUUGUGUUCAGCUGAUGUACCCAGAAGGGGCGAUCACAUUUACAUCUUUCAUUUUUCUAACACUGUUUUUCAGAGCAGCUUACAGCAAAUGCAACAGUAGGUACCUUAGAAACUACACUUGUGAACAAGGGCUGCACCUUACAAUUAUUUUCAUUAUCAAUUAAUCUGCUGAUUAUUUUCUCGAUU